rnacentral:rRNA from 1 species
CCUACGGGAGGCAGCAGUAGGGAAUCUUCCACAAUGGGCGAAAGCCUGAUGGAGCAACGCAGCGUGGGUGAAGAAGGCCUUCGGAUCGUAAAACUCUGUUGUUAGAGAAGAAAGUGCGUGAGAGUAACUGUUCACGUUUCGACGGUAUCUAACCAGAACGCCACGACUAACUACAUGCCAGCAGCCGCGGUAAUACGUAGGUGGCAAGCGUUAUCCGGAUUUAUUGGGCGUAAAGGGAACGCAGGUGGUCUGUUAAGUCUGAUGUGAAAGCCUUCGGCUUAACCGGAGUAGUGCAUUGGAAACUGGGAGACUUGAGUGCAGAAGAGGAGGGGGGAACUCGAUGUGUAGCGGUGAAAUGCGUAGAUAUAUGGAAGAACACCAGUGGCGAAAGCGGCUCUCUGGACUGUAACUGACGCUGAGGCUCGAAAGCGUGGGUAGCAAACAGGAUUAGAUACCCGGGUAGUC